rnacentral:rRNA from 1 species
UACGAAGGGGGCUAGCGUUGUUCGGAAUUACUGGGCGUAAAGCGCACGUAGGCGGACAUUUAAGUCAGGGGUGAAAUCCCAGAGCUCAACUCUGGAACUGCCUUUGAUACUGGGUGUCUUGAGUAUGGAAGAGGUUAGUGGAAUUGCGAGUGUAGAGGUGAAAUUCGUAGAUAUUCGCAGGAACACCAGUGGCGAAGGCGGCUAACUGGUCCAUAACUGACGCUGAGGUGCGAAAGCGUGGGGAGCAAACAGG